UAAGAAUGAGGAUAGAGAAGCAAAAGCAAGUGACACUAUCACACCUUUUAGGUCAAAAGAGAUGUUGGGACAGUCACACCAACCGUUCUUA
rfam:Leptotrichia sp. oral taxon 215 str. W9775 genomic scaffold Scaffold453, whole genome shotgun sequence.